rnacentral:rRNA from 1 species
GGUCUCUAGUGGCGAACGGGUGAGUAACACGUAGGGAACCUGCCCGCGCACCGGGAAUACGCUCUGGAAACGGAGAACAAAUCCCGAUGUACAGGAAGGAGGCAUCUUCUUUCUGUGAAACAUCCUUUCGGGGAUGGGGCGCGGAUGGACCUGCGGUGCAUUAGUUGGUUGGCGGGGUAAAGGCCCACCAAGACGAUGAUGCAUAGCCGGCCUGAGAGGGCGGACGGCCACAUUGGGACUGAGACACGGCCCAGACUCCUGCGGGAGGCAGCAGUAGGGAAUUUUCGUCAAUGGGCGCAAGCCUGAACGAGCGAUGCCGCGUGAGUGAAGAAGGCCUUCGGGUCGUAAAGCUCUGUUGCGGGGGAAAAAAGGCAGCAUCAGGAAAUGGGUGCUGACUGAUGGUGCCCCGCCAGAAAGUCACGGCUAACUACGUGCCAGCAGCCGCGGUAAUACGUAGGUGGCGAGCGUUAUCCGGAAUGAUUGGGCGUAAAGGGUGCGCAGGCGGUCCUGCAAGUCUGGAGUGAAACGCAUGAGCUCAACUCAUGCAUGGCUUUGGAAACUGGAGGACUGGAGAGCAGGAGAGGGCGGUGGAACUCCAUGUGUAGCAGUAAAAUGCGUAGAUAUAUGGAAGAACACCAGUGGCGAAGGCGGCCGUCUGGUCUGCAACUGACGCUGAGGCUCGAAAGCAUGGGUAGCGAACAGGAUUAGAUACCCUGGUAGUCCAUGCCGUAAACGAUGAGUGCUAGGUGUUGGAGGGUUUCCGCCCUUCAGUGCCGGAGCUAACGCAUUAAGCACUCCGCCUGGGGAGUACGACCGCAAGGUUGAAACUCAAAGGAAUUGACGGGGGCCCGCACAAGCGGUGGAGCAUGUGGUUUAAUUCGAAGCUACGCGAAGAACCUUACCAGGUCUUGACAUCUUGCGCUAACCUUAGGGAUAAGGCGUUCCCUUCGGGGACGCAAUGACAGGUGGUGCAUGGUCGUCGUCAGCUCGUGUCGUGAGAUGUUGGGUUAAGUCCCGCAACGAGCGCAACCCUUGUUACUAGUUGCCAGCAUUAAGUUGGGCACUCUAGUGAGACUGCCGGUGACAAACCGGAGGAAGGUGGGGACGACGUCAGAUCAUCAUGCCCCUUAUGACCUGGGCUACACACGUGCUACAAUGGACGGUACAACGAGUCGCAAGCUCGCGAGAGUAAGCUAAUCUCUUAAAGCCGUUCUCAGUUCGGACUGUAGGCUGCAACUCGCCUACACGAAGUCGGAAUCGCUAGUAAUCGCGGAUCAGCAUGCCGCGGUGAAUACGUUCCCGGGCCUUGCACUCACCGCCCGUCA